CAGCUCCCUUCAUGAAAGAAGUAGAGUGACAAGGUGUUGAGAAUCAACUGUACAUAGUCUUCUUUUGCAAUAUAAUAAUUUGCAGCAUCAAACAUCACUUUCAGUGGAAUUAAACCAACAACUUGCGAUCCAGUGAUCGGAUGAUCAUGGGCAUUCAGAUGAUAUGAACAAGGAAACUAUGGAACUCGGUUAGUGCUAAGCAUUGAUGGUCAUUCUAAACGUAUUGAAAACUUUGAAAACGAGUUCGGUUUAAAAAAUCUGGAUGUUAAAAACCUCGAUUAGCAAUAUACUAUAGCACUGUCCACAAGCGUGUUAAGGCGGUUUAAAAUUGUUUCGACAACGAGACAAAUAUUUGAAUACAACAAAAAGAUACUACCUUGGCUUCUUCCACACAUGUUUCAAAAACAGUGUGAACAGCAGUGGUCUUGAAAUCCAGAACAUUUACAGAUAUUUGUGAAAUGUUGGAUUUUUCCUCUCGCCAACCAACCGCUUGAAUUUUUUCCAACAAGCCAGGCUUUAUUAAUUACAUACAUAUUUAUUAGAUGUACAAAUGAGAGGUACGUGAAAGAAAAGAGGAAAUUUUGGGCCAUUAACAUGUAGCUAUAAAACUUUCUA